rnacentral:rRNA from 1 species
GACGAACGCUGGCGGCGUGCUUAACACAUGCAAGUCGAACGGAAAGGCCCUGCUUUUGUGGGGUGCUCGAGUGGCGAACGGGUGAGUAACACGUGAGUAACCUGCCCUUGACUUUGGGAUAACUUCAGGAAACUGGGGCUAAUACCGGAUAGGAGCUCCUGCUGCAUGGUGGGGGUUGGAAAGUUUCGGCGGUUGGAGAUGGACUCGCGGCUUAUCAGCUUGUUGGUGGGGUAGUGGCUUACCAAGGCUUUGACGGGUAGCCGGCCUGAGAGGGUGACCGGCCACAUUGGGACUGAGAUACGGCCCAGACUCCUACGGGAGGCAGCAGUGGGGAAUAUUGCACAAUGGGCGGAAGCCUGAUGCAGCAACGCCACGUGCGGGAUGACGGCCUUCGGGUUGUAAACCGCUUUCGCCUGUGACGAAGCGUGAGUGACGGUAAUGGGUAAAGAAGCACCGGCUAACUACGUG